rnacentral:lncRNA from 10 species
CUUGGUUGUAGUGGAUAAGCUCAUAAAAACAUUUUUCUAGUCGCUUCCAAGAUGGCUGAAUAGGAACAGCUCCGGUCUGCAGCUACCAGUGUGAUCAAUGCAGAAGACGAGUGAUUUCUGCAUUUCCAACUGAGGUACCUGGUUUAUCUCACUGGUCCUGGUUGAACAGUGGGUGCAGUCCACAGAGGGCGAGCUGAAGCAAGACAGGGUGUCGCCUCACUCAGGAAGCGCAAGGGGUCGGGGGAUUUCCCUUUCCUAGCCAAGAGAAGGAAUGACAAACUGUAUCUGGAGAAAUGGUACACUCCUGACCAAAUACUGCACUAUUCCCACUGUAUUAGCAACUGGCAGACCAGGGGAUCCCCUCUCGUGCCUGGCUCAGCAGGUCCCACACCCACGCAGCCUUGCUCACUGCUAGCGCAGCAGUCUGAGAUCCACCUGUGACACUGCAGCUGGACACGGGGAGGGGUGUCUGCCAUUGCUGAGGCUUGAGUAGCUCACAGUGUAAACAAAGAGGUCUGGAAGCACGAACUGAGUGGAGUCCGCGGCAGCUCAGCAAGGCCUACUGCCUCUAUAGAUUCCACCUCUGGGAUCAGGGCAUAGUAGAACAAAAGGCAGCAGACAGCUUCUGCAGACUUAAACAUCCCUGUCUGACAGCGCUGAAGAGAGCAGUGGUUCUCUCAGCAUGGCGUUCGAGCUCCAAAAAUGGAUAGACUGCCUCCUCAAGUGGAUGACUGACCCCUGGGUAGCCUGACUGGGAAAUACCUCCAAGUAGGGGCCGACAGACAUCUCAAACAGGUGGGUGCCCCUCUGGGAUGAAGCUUCCAGAGGAAGGAUCAGGCAGCAAUAUUUGCUGUUCUGCAGACUCCUCUGGUGAUAUACCCGGGCAAACAGGGUCUGGAGUGGACCUACAACAAACUCCAACAGACCUGCACCUGAGGGGUCUGACUGUUAGAAGGAAAACUAACCAACAGAAGGAAACCAGGUAUUUGAAUUUUUAGCACAUUUUUCUAGUCGCUUCCAAGAUGGCUGAGUAGGAACAGCUCUGGUCUGCAGCUCCCAGCAUGAUCGAUGCCGAAGACGGGUGAUUUCUGUAUUUCCAACUGAGGUACCUGGUUCAUCUCACUGGUACUGGUUGAACAGUGGGUGCAGCCCACAGAGGGCGAGCUGAAGCAGGACAUCAACAUCAACAAAAAGGAUAUCCACACCAAAACCCCAUCUGUAGGUCACCAACAUCAAAGACCAAAGGUAGAUAAAACCACAAAGAUGGGGAGAAACCAGAGCAGAAAAGCUGAAAAUUCCAAAAAACAGAGCACCUCUUCUCCUCCAAAGGAUUGCAGCUCCUCACCAGCAAGGGAACAAAACUGGAUGGAGAAUGAGAUUGAGAAAUUGACAAAAGUAGGCUUCAGAAGGUCGGUAAUAACAAACUUCUCGAAGCUAAAGGAGCAUGUUCUAACCCAUCACAAGGAAGCUAAAACCUUGAAAAGACGUUAGAUGAAUGGCCAACUAGAAUAAACAGUGUAGAGAAGACCUUAAAUCACCUGAUGGAGCUGAAAACCAUGGCACAAGAACUUCGAGACGCACAAGCUUUAAUAGCCAAUUCGAUCAAGUGGAAGAAAGGAUAUCAAUGAUUGAUAUCCAAAUUAAUAAAAUAAAGUGAGAAGACAAGAUUAGAGAACAAAAGAGUGAAAAGAAAUGAACAAAGGCUCUGAGAAAUAUGGGAUUAUGUGAAAAUACCAAAUCUACAUUUGACUGGUGUACCGCAAAGUGACACGGAUAAUGGAACCAAGUUAGAAAACACUCUGCAGGAUAUCAUCCAGGAGAACUUCCCUAACCUAGAAAGGCAGGCCAACAUUCAAAUUCAGGAAAUACAGAGAACACCACAAAGAUACUCCUCGAGAAGAGCAACCCCAAGACACAUAAUUUUCAGAUUCACCAAGGGUAAAAUAAAGGAAAAAAUGUUAAGGGCAGCCACAGAGAAAGGUCGGGUUACCCACAAAGGGAAGCCCAUCAGACUAACAGCAGAUCUCUCUGCAGAAACCCUACAAGCCAGAAGAGAGUAGGGGCCAAUAUUCAACAUUCUUAAAGUAAAGAAUUUUCAACCCAGAAUCUCAUAUCC